rnacentral:rRNA from 1 species
UACGAAGGGGGCUAGCGUUGUUCGGAAUUACUGGGCGUAAAGCGUAUGCAGGCGGAUCGUUAAGUCGGGGGUGAAAUCCCGAGGCUCAACCUCGGAACUGCCUUCGAUACUGGCGAUCUUGAGUCCGGGAGAGGUGAGUGGAACUCCGAGUGUAGAGGUGAAAUUCGUAGAUAUUCGGAAGAACACCAGUGGCGAAGGCGGCUCACUGGCCUGGUACUGACGCUGAGAUACGAAAGCGUGGGGAGCAAACAGG